rnacentral:lncRNA from 1 species
UCGGAAUUCCAUGGACUAUAGCCUACAAAAAUUGGCAAAAUGGGGGGUUUUCGUGCUCCAGAGAUCGUUUGACCUUGAAAAUGGGACGUUUUGGCCGUGAGGGCGAACAAUCCCCAUAGCUAAAGUCUUAACGGACAUCCUUAAAAAAUUUCGGCAAAAAUGAGGUCGGAAUUUUGGAUCAUCAAAAAAUCCAUGGACUAUGGCAC